rnacentral:rRNA from 1 species
UUAAACAUUGAUCGUUUACUACAUCAAAUCAUCCGCCUGGGAAUUACGAACAUUAGUUUAAAACCCAAAGGACUUGGCGGUGCUUAAUAUCCACCUAGAGGAGCCUGUUCUAGAACCGAUAAUCCCCGUUUAACCUCACCCCCCCUAGCUUUUUCCGCCUAUAUACCACCGUCGCCAGCUUACCCUGUGAAGGACUAAUAGUAAGCACAAUCGGCACAGCCCAGAACGUCAGGUCGAGGUGUAGUGGAUGGGAGGGGAAGAAAUGGGCUACAUUCGCUGCCCACCAGCGAACACGAAUGCUACAUUGAAACAUGUAGCUGAAGGAGGAUUUAGCAGUAAGCAGAAAGCAGAGUGUUCCGCUGAAGCCGGCUCUUAAGCGCGC